ensembl:lncRNA novel transcript
UGUAUACUGGAGUUAUUGGGCGGCCCUGAGGAGAAGAGACAAAAAGGAGCCUUCCUGAACACGUCCACGGUUGGUUGAAUCCAGAUGCAGAAACUGCGGAUAAGGAGGACCUUCUCUGUACUGUAUUCCGGAAUCUUCUACUUACCAUUCCACUCAAUCAGUCUAUGCCCCAGAGUGAGCUAGAGAAGGCAGCGGAGAAUCUACCAUCCACACAAUUGAUUUCACAGUAAUUAAAAAUCAGUGUUUUUCCUUAAACAUGGCCUCUAGAUACAUGCCAGCUGCCUCAACUCAUACUUAACUGAUGGAAUAUGAUCUGUCUCAGAGACAGAGAGAGGAACAGACUGUGUCAACUUAGAGAAACCAAAUAUACUGAUCUCCAAAGGGACAGCUUCUUAAGCUGUGACCUUAAAAAAUUGUGACCAUACACAAUUUUCAGCCAAUGUGAUGGUUUCCAUCACCUCCCACCUAAGAGAUGACACCAUUAAUGUAUACAAAUUGUUGUAGAAGCUUAGAGAAAGAACCAACUAAUGGGGAAGUUGGAGAAAAUGUCUCAGCAGCGGGGAUAUUCGAGCUGAGUUUUGAAGGAUAAAGAGCAGUUUCCAAAUGAGGAAGAAGUGGGCAAGGACAAGCUAAGUAAAGUUGCCUGAACUGUUGACGGCCACCACUGGCUCUAGAAAAGCCCCUGCUACUUCCUUCUGUCUACUUGAAAGUGCAACAUAAGAUGUUUUCAGAACAAACAGGAGUAUGAAUGGGAAGACUGUGGUUCAGUAUUUCCCAAAGUGUUUGCCAUGGAACUAGUUCUGUGAGAUGCUUCAUUGAAAAGAGAUUCUGAAUAAAAUAAAACAUUCAUUUAACAAAAUAU